GCUACAGGCUUAACACAUGCAAGUCGCGGGGCAGCGCGGGGGUGGCAACACUUCUGGCGGCGACCGGCGCACGGGUGAGUAACGCGUAUCCAACCUCCCCCACACCACGGGACAGCCCGCUGAAAAGCGGAUUAAUACCGUAUGUUCUCCGAAGCGGACAUCUAACUCGGAGCAAAAGAGCUUUUCUGGUAUGGGCUGGGGAUGCGUCUGAUUAGGCAGUUGGCGGGGUAACGGCCCACCAAGCCGACGAUCAGUAGGGGUUCUGAGAGGAAGGUCCCCCACAUUGGAACUGAGACACGGUCCAAACUCCUACGGGAGGCAGCAGUGAGGAAUAUUGGUCAAUGGGCGAGAGCCUGAACCAGCCAAGUAGCGUGAAGGAUGACGGCCCUAUGGGUUGUAAACUUCUUUUGUUUGGGAAUAAAGCGGAGUACGUGUUACUCCUUUGUAUGUACCUUACGAAUAAGCAUCGGCUAAUUCCGUGCCAGCAGCCGCGGUAAUACGGAAGAUGCGAGCGUUAUCCGGAUUUAUUGGGUUUAAAGGGAGCGUAGGCGGACUGUUAAGUCAGCGGUGAAACGUCAGGGCCCAACCCUGGCUUGCCGUUGAUACUGUCGGUCUUGAAUGCACCCAAGGGUGGUGGAAUUCGUCGUGUAGCGGUGAAAUGCUUAGAUAUGACGAAGAACUCCGAUUGCGAAGGCAGCCACCUGGAGUGUGAUUGACGCUGAGGCUCGAAAGUGCGGGUAUCAAACAGGAUUAGAUACCCUGGUAGUCCGCACAGUAAACGAUGGAUGCUCGUCAUUGGCGAUACACGGUCAGUGACCAGGCGAAAGCAUUAAGCAUCCCACCUGGGGAGUACGCCGGCAACGGUGAAACUCAAAGGAAUUGACGGGGGCCCGCACAAGCGGAGGAACAUGUGGUUUAAUUCGAUGAUACGCGAGGAACCUUACCCGGGCUUGAAUUGCCGGCGAACGAUACAGAGAUGUUGAGGCCCUUCGGGGCGCCAGUGAAGGUGCUGCAUGGUUGUCGUCAGCUCGUGCCGUGAGGUGUCGGCUUAAGUGCCAUAACGAGCGCAACCCUUGCCGUCAGUUGCCAUCAGGUCAUGCUGGGCACUCUGACGGGACUGCCAUCGCAAGAUGUGAGGAAGGUGGGGAUGACGUCAAAUCAGCACGGCCCUUACGUCCGGGGCUACACACGUGUUACAAUGGGGGGUACAGAAUGUUGCUGGCCGGCGACGGCUGGCGGAUCACGAAAUCCCCUCUCAGUUCGGACUGGAGUCUGCAACCCGACUCCACGAAGCUGGAUUCGCUAGUAAUCGCACAUCAGCCAUGGCGCGGUGAAUACGUUCCCGGG
rnacentral:rRNA from 1 species